rnacentral:rRNA from 1 species
GUGAACGCUGGCGGUAGGCCUCACCCCUGCCAGUCGCACGGCAGCACAGUAAGAGCUUGCUCUUACGGGUGGCGAGUGGCGGACGGGUGAGGAAUACAUCGGAAUCUACUUUUUCGUGGGGGAUAACGUAGGGAAACUUACGCUAAUACCGCAUACGACCUACGGGUGAAAGCAGGGGAUCUUCGGACCUUGCGCGAUUGAAUGAGCCGAUGUCGGAUUAGAGUUGGCGGGGUAAAGGCCCACCAAGGCGACGAUCCGUAGCUGGUCUGAGAGGAUGAUCAGCCACACUGGAACUGAGACACGGUCCAGACUCCUACGGGAGGCAGCAGUGGGGAAUAUUGGACAAUGGGCGCAAGCCUGAUCCAGCCAUACCGCGUGGGUGAAGAAGGCCUUCGGGUUGUAAAGCCCUUUUGUUGGGAAAGAAAAGCAGCAGGUUAAUACCCCGCUGUUCUGACGGUACCCAAAGAAUAAGCACCGGCUAACUUCGUG